GCGCCCGUAGCUCAGUUGGAUAGAGCAUGGGAUUUCUAAUCCCAGGGUCACUGGUUCGAGUCCAGUCGGGCGUA
rnacentral:tRNA from 1 species